GCCUGGGUGGCUCAGUCAGUUGAGCAUCUGACUUCAGCUCAGGUCAUGAUCUCGCGGUUUGUGGGGUUCGAGCCCCACAUCAGGCU
rnacentral:tRNA from 1 species